AAAGGUGAUGUACAGCUGUAUGUCAUCUGCAUAACAAUGAUAUGAGACAUCAUCAAAAGAGCUCAAGAUGUGUCCAAGUGGGAGAAAAUACAGUGCAAAUA